UCUUCAUGCUGACAGCUUGCCGGCGUCGAUUUCUCCUGGUCUUGCAUCCGAGCAACUGUCACGCCACCAGUUUCGCACAUUCACUGUUGUUGCCCUGUCUUCUCUUGCGUUUGAGUCGAACGGUUGCAUCCGAGCCGCUUGCCUCUAGAUUCUUGGAUCCAAAAAAUCGGACCUGCUUGGUUCUGAUCUUGCGUCCGAGCCGCCGCCAACUUCGAUCCAGUCUUCCUCUACCGAUCCUCCACCACGGGCCACAAAUUCGAUCCAACUCCAUCUGAUUUCCUCUGAUAUGGUCCAGCAACCCACUCGAGCUGCCACCAACAAUCCAUCACCAAUCGUCUUUGUUCUGGUUCGAUGCUUCACUUCGUCAACGAUCUCGUGGUCGUGUGUGUAGUUCCUGAUUACUCUGGCAUUAGGAUUUGUGGUCUGCCAAGUUGUGGGUUUUCUGUUGUUUAUUGUGUUUAUUUCUACUCGACAUCUUAUGUCUACUCUGCAGUGUUUUGUCCUAGUCUAUAAACAGCCGCAAUGACCGACUCCAAGCAUCUGUUUCAUCCUACUCUUGCAGUAUCCAAUAUCAAAAACCAUAUUUCCAUUAUUCUGGAAAUGGAGAAUGUUCAGUAUGCGACUUAGGCAAAGUUGUUUAAGAUUCAUGCGCACUUUCAUUGGGUCCUUCAUCACAUUAUUUCUCUAGCCAGAGACAAAGAGAAUGUGCCCCAAAUUGACAAGGAGAAGGGGCUUUGGUUGACUUUGGAUGCUAUCGUCCUUCAAUGGAUUUAUGCAAUGAUCUCCUAUGACUUGUUGCACACUGUUCUGGAACCUGAUGCUACGGCAAUGGAGGCUUAGAAUAGGUUGCAUGAUAUAUUCUAAGAUACCAAAAACUCUUGGGUGGUCACUCUUGAACAAGAGUUUUCUCAUACCAACAUGGAGGAUUUUUCGAACGCCUCAUUUAUUGCCAGCGCCUCAAGAGUUUAUCCGAUCAGCUUAAGAAUGUUGGCGCUCCAAUAACGAAUGAUCGGCUUGUGUUGUAAAUCAUUGCCAAUCUACUGAGGCCUACGAUAGAGUUGCUAUUCUUAUUCGCCAAAGUGCUUCUCUCCCUUAGUUUUAUCAAGCUCGGUCCAUGCUCAUUCUUGAGGAAGCAGGUUUUGCAAAGAAAGCAGUCGUUGGCACUGUUUCUCAUGCUACCAUGGUUAUUCGAGAGUCCGAGGAGAUUCCAUCUCUUUCUGCCUCAUGUCCUUCCAAUCAUGGGCAGAAUACUGGGAAGAAAGGUGGACAUAAUCGCAAUUGGGGGGAGAGAGGGACGAUCUCGUGGUAAUGGUCGGAACAAUGGCAAAGGCAGUACUAGUGGCAAUUGUAAUAAUCAAGUUGGAACAGACAGCCUUUAGGGACUCGUCCCCAUUCUCAAUGGAUACCACCCUUAGAAACAUGGUCGUGGCAACAGUGGGCCAUCCCUCCAUGUCCAUACUCGUCCUCACAAUGGGCUCAGUCUGUUCUGCCGCAUUCACAGCCUCUACGGGUGUGUUGAGGUCUCGUCCACAAUAGGCCUAUACUGCUACUACUCCUCCUACAUCCACUGAUAUUGAGCAAGUGAUGCGCACUCUUGGCCUUAAACCUCCAGAUGCGAACUGGUACAUGGACACAGAAGACACCUCUCAUAUGACUUCCGCACUAGGAAACCUUUUUAUCUUGGGAUUAUUGUAACUUGUGCGACCAAGUUACAAUCAAUAUUGAAGUGUAAGCGAUGCGUCAAAAGCCAGUAUUGACCCCAAAAUAGACGGGCAAUCAAUCGCAUGAGCUGAAGGUAAUUCUAAGCACAUGGUGGCCAACAUGCGCCCAACAAUUUCCGGAAGUUCCAAUAGUCAGGGCAAGCUCUUGACCUAAGCAGUUGAGAGUAAUCUUCUACAUGGGAGACUUCUUGUGGUGACAACACUCCAAUUUCUCCAGGGAGGUUUUCUACUCUAUCUUUACCUUGCUUUCUUAGUUUAAUUUAUUUUUGUUUUUAUUGUUAUUUUGGAUAUGCGGUUGCUUCAUUGGUUAUGGUGUGUUUUCUCCUUGUAGGUGCGAAAAAUAAUUCUCCUUGGUGCGCAGUACAAUGGAAGCAUUCCCUUCAUCCUUCAAUGCAUGGCUUCGAUCGCGUGGAUUCCAACGCAUGAUUGCAUGCGUUAUUCCGCCUAAGUUUCAGGAUCCCAAACGUUCUAGCCAUGUGUGCUUGUUAAAGAAGUUUCUGUAUGGGCUUAAGCAGGCUCCUCAUGCAUGGUAACAACGCUUUGCUAAUUUUGUUUCCUCUCAUGAUUUUCAACACAGCAGGUUUGAUCAUUCUCUUUUUGUUGAUCACCAUG